rnacentral:snoRNA from 1 species
CUUGAGGAUAAGGUUAGCAAGUGUGGCACAUGCUAGGGUCCUCAAAGGGUAAGUGCUGACCUUACUCCCUGGCUGAAGAUCUCGUGGCACAUUCAGUUACCAGGUUGGUAACAGAU